ensembl:snoRNA small nucleolar RNA SNORA50
AGGCACUACCUUUGAACCUGCAUGGUCUUUGCCAUGGCCACACAGGCCAAGCAGUAGUGCAAGAGCAAACCAUGGCUUGUUAUAACUGGGGUCUCUUGGCAAUUCACCAAGUUUCUCUUUUAAAAGCAAAUCACAGAC